CCUACGGGUGGCAGCAGUGAGGAAUAUUGGUCAAUGGACGAGAGUCUGAACCAGCCAAGUAGCGUGAAGGAUGACUGCCCUAUGGGUUGUAAACUUCUUUUAUAUGGGAAUAAAACAGGGUAUGCAUACCCUAUUGUCUGUAUCAUUUGAAUAAGGCUCGGCUAACACCGUGCCAGCAGCAGCGGUAAUCCGGAGGAUCCGAGCGUUAUCCGGAUUUAUUGGGUGUAACGGGAGCGUAGGUGGAAUGUUAAGUCAGUUGUGAAAGGUUGGGGCUCAACCGUAAAAUUGCAGUUGAAACUGGCAGUCUUGAGUGCAGUAGAGGUGGGCGGAAUUCGUAGUGUAGCGGUGAAAUGCUUAGAUAUCACGAAGAACUCCGAUUGCGAAGGCAGCUCACUGGACUGCAACUGACACUGAUGCUCGAAAGUGUGGGUAUCAAACAGGAUUAGAUACCCCUGUAGUC
rnacentral:rRNA from 1 species